UUAAAUGGCCGGGAGUGGGUUCCAAAUUCCGGGACUGUCCCAGCAAAAACGGGACAGUUAGCAAGUAUGCGCUGGCUCCCAGGAGCUCCCUAUCAUGGACCUGCAACUGCUGGAUUACCGGGUGCACCGGUGCAGGUAACCAACAUCAACAAGGCUGGUCUAGUCUGUGAUUCUAUAUUUACCCACUGGUCAAGCCACUGUUCCUGUGGCAUUGCACCAGAUAUGACAAGGAGAGCUGGACCUUAGAAGAUUUGGGAUAGGGCAACAGGAGGUGUUAGAGAAGGUGCCAAUGUGUUUUUUAUUUCAUUUAUGCAACUUCAGUAUGUGUUGUAAAACUGUUGAUAUUUGCACCCACAUCUUGACACUGAUCUUUGCAAAUAAUACUUUAAAGAAUUGUGCAGGAAAUAGAACGUUAGUGUUAAAAGCUAGGGACAAAGUAUAUUAUUCUCCUACCUACAUCUCCUCCAGGGCCGGCUUAAUGAUGGGACCAAGUGGGUCCACCGGACCCAGGCAGCACUUAAGAGGGGGCGGCACUUCAGUGACUGAGUGUGUCACUGACAGAUCUGGUCAGACCACUCCUAUUGUCCUGUGCUCGCUCUGUCUCUGCUCCUGCCCUCGCAGCUGCAGCAACAGGUUGCGCUAUUAACAUAACUGCAUCGGGAGGGAGGAGGGAGAAUCACCCAGGCUACAACACCCCUUUCUUAUAAUCUCAGCCCCCUUGCCCUAACAAGUCAGCUCCAGUAAGCUAAAGGCACCCAGCAGGGGGGGAGGGUGCAAACUUAGAGAAGCGCGCAAGUGAGUCCUGCUGCCCCACAGUGAUGAUGUAACACACUACUCACUCCUUACUGCCAAUGAUGUGCAGCCUCCUCCGCUCUAGCCUCCCUCUUUCACACACGUGGAUCCUUCUGCAAACAGGAAGGGGCUAGCUUGGACUUAAGGUGGCAGUGUGGAUAAGCAAGCUGCAUCUUUGUAGGAACAAAUUCAGGUGGACCCAACAUGGUAUGAUAAUAUAUCAGAAACCCUACAAAGGAUUGACAAUACCAUGCUGAAUUCCCACAUGUGACUUGGCCUCAUAAUGGAUAGUUUGUGUUUCCAGAGCAGAAUCAAUAGAUUCUUGAAAUUUUAAUAACUCGUCUUCCUGCUCCUGAAGCACAACAGGGGCAUAAAGAAAGGGAGGAUGGAGACCCUAGUGGAGGCGCUUCCAAAGAGUGUAUAUCCUCCUGGUUCUUAUUGUUUAUAAGUGGACCUUGACCUCCUUUGGCACUGCCUCUUGAAAUGGUGCUCUUGAACUGCAAAGGACUAUCUCUGGCCUCAUGAGUGAACAUUAGCCUCAUUUGGCACUGCCGCUAGAAAUGGUGCUCUGGUAGUGCUUGAACUGUAAAGAACUAUAUCUGGCCUUCUGAGUAGACAUUGGCCUCCUUUGGCACUGCCUCUUGAAAUUGUGCUCUGGUACUGCUUGAACUGCAAAGAACUAUCUCUUGUCUUAAGAGUGGACAUUGGCCAUGUACCACUAUUUUGGUUUUAUUUAUAAAUGGCUAGGUAUGAGUGAAAAAGCAGCGUUAAGGUUCAUAACGCUGCUUUUUCUCUCCCGCUGGUAUUACGAGUCUUGCAGAUUUAGGGGCACCGCACACUUUUUUUGGCCGUACCGCAAAUUAACUUACAAAAUUUGCGUAAAGUCUUUUUUAAAUGGAACUUCCAUAGUGCUGAUAUUACAAGCUUUUUCUGGGAGGCCAAAAAGUGAGCGGUACAGCCUAUCCCGCAAGAUUCAUAACGCAAUCUAAAGUCAGUAGUUAUGAGUUUUACACUACAAAGCUGUAGCAUAAAACUCAUAACUAAAGUGCUAAAAAGUACACUAACACCCAUAAACUACCUAUUAACCCGUAAACUGAGGCCCUCCCGCAUUGCAAACACUAAAAUAAAAUUAUUAACCCCUAAUCUGCCGCUCCAGACAUCGCCACCACUAGAAUAAACAUAUUAACCCCUAAACCUCCUCACUCCCGCCUCGCAAACACUAGUUAAAUAUUAUUAACCCCUAAUCUGCCACCCCUAACAUCGCCGCCACCUAUCUACAUUUAUUAACCCCUAAUCUGCCACCCCCAACUUUGCCGCCACUAUACUAAAUGUAUUAACCCUUAAACCUAAGUCUAACCCUAACACCCCCUAUCUUAAAUAUAAUUAAAAUAAAUCUAAAUAAAAAUUCCUAUCAUUACCUAAAUAAUUCCUAUUUAAAACUAAAUACUUACCUGUAAAAUAAACCCUAAACUAGCUACAAUAUAACUAAUAGUUACAUUGUAUCUAGCUUAGGGUUUAUUUUUAUUUUACAGGCAAGUUUGUAUUUAUUUUAACUAGGUACAAUAGUUAUUAAAUAUUUAAUAACUAUUUAAUAGCUACCUAGUUAAAAUAAUUACACUACAAUUAAAUAAGUUACCUAAAUUAAAUACAAUUACCUAAAUUACAAAAAAAUAAGUGGGUUAAUAAGUGUAAGAUUAGGGGUUAAUAAGUGUAAGAUUAGGGGUGUUUAGACUCGGGGUUUAUGUUAGGGUGUUAGGUGUAAACAUAAAUUUUGUUUCCCCAUAGGAAUCAAUGGGACUGCGUUACGGAGCUUUACGCUGCUUUAUUGUAGGUGUUAGGCUUUUUUUUCAGCCGGCUCUCCACAUUGAUGUCUAUGGGGAAAUCGUGCACUAGCACGUAAAACCAGCUUACUGCUGACUUAAGCAGCGCUGGUUUUGGAGUGCGGUAUGGAGCACAAUUUUGCUCUACGCUCACAUCUUGCCUGUUAACGCCGGUUUCAUGAAAACUUGUAAUACCAGCGCUGUAGUUAAGUGAGGGGUGACAAUAACGAGCAAGUUAGCACCGCACCCCUCAUACCGCAAAACUCGUAAUCUAGCCGAAAGUUUCUUACACGUGUAAUAAAUUACUUUUUUAACUAA